AUCAGGCUCAGAUUGAACGCUGGCGGCAGGCAUAACACAUGCAAGUCGAGCGGUAGCACAGAGAGCUUGCUCUCGGGUGACGAGCGGCGGACGGGUGAGUAAUGUAUGGGAAACUGCCUGAUGGAGGGGGAUAACUACUGGAAACGGUAGCUAAUACCGCAUAACGUCGCAAGACCAAAGYRGGGGACCUUCGGGCCUCAUGCCAUCAGAUGUGCCCAGAUGGGAUUAGCUAGUAGGUGGGGUAACGGCUCACCUAGGCGACGAUCCCUAGCUGGUCUGAGAGGAUGACCAGCCACACUGGAACUGAGACACGGUCCAGACUCCUACGGGAGGCAGCAGUGGGGAAUAUUGCACAAUGGGCGCAAGCCUGAUGCAGCCAUGCCGCGUGUGUGAAGAAGGCCUUCGGGUUGUAAAGCACUUUCAGCGGGGAGGAARUCKGKGAGGUUAAUACCCUCAUCGAUUGACGKUACCCGCAGAAGAAGCACCGGCUAACUCCGUGCCAGCAGCCGCGGUAAUACGGAGGGUGCAAGCGUUAAUCGGAAUUACUGGGCGUAAAGCGCRCGCAGGCGGUYUGUCAAGUCGGAUGUGAAAUCCCCGGGCUCAACCUGGGAACUGCAUUSGAAACUGGCAGGCUAGAGUSUUGUAGAGGGRGGURGAAUUCCAGGUGUAGCAGUGAAAUGCGUAGAGAUCUGGAGGAAYACCGAUGGCGAAGGCAGCCUCCUGGACAAACACUGACGCUCAGCU
rnacentral:rRNA from 1 species